GUGGCUUUAACCACAGAAUGGGCCACAGAUGCAGUGAGAGGUGUCACGACAACACUAUGACGACUAAAUGCGUCCACAUCUCAGCAUAUCAAUAGCAGCACAGGUCUCUUUAAAGCCGCGGAUUUCAAGAUUUUGUGAUUUACUCGAGUUCAUUAAGCAGAACGCCGCAUUUAAAGCCAUCAAUACGUGCCAGUUUGAUCCGGCCGGGUGUGAUAUUAUUUCUUUCCUGUUUUCCAGGUGACUGGAUCAAAGCUGAACUUGGCUGCCGGCGGCGCUGUGUGCUCUGACCAUGGCUGUUGUUGUGGCCUUCGUGCACAGUUGGCAGCUCACCCUCCUCAUCCUGGCAAGUGCGCACUUCCUGAGGCCAGCUUCAUUCAAAUGAGGCCAGCGGUGGGACAUUCCUCCGAGGACCAAAGUGAUGCUGCAACAGUGUGUGAAGGUGCUAACGAAAUUUCAACAAAACAUUUGGAGACUGCCUGUGAUGGGUUCAGAGAACAUCCACCGCACUGACGACAUGUGCAGGACUAAAUGAGGCCUCCUCAGUGUGUGCUCCUCUCCGGCUUUGAAGUGCCGCUGUGACACGGGCGACCAAUCAGCGGCUCCGUCCCUCCGCACUGCCGCACACCACCGUGAGGUCAUCAAUAGAGCGCCUCAGACAGCUCUCCACCCUCCUCCAGCCCCCCGCCGCCCCCUCCAUAAUAAAAGACAGCGGAAGGAAGGUAAAGUUAAAUGAGAGUGAAUUAGGAAGGAGGAAUUAGGGGGCCACUUAUUGAAAUUUUACAGAACAUCACAUUCCAUAAAUUUAAAGAAGGAGGAAGGAUGACUUUGGGGAGCGGUGAUGUAGGAUUGUGGUUGGCAGGUUAUACCUCAUAACAGCUACGGAUACAGUAAAUAAACUCUUCUGGAAGUUCUAUUCAAAUAGCCUUGUUUGUUCUUUUAUGCAAAUAUUUGCAACUUUAUCCUCCGCUUGUGCGCGUUCGGAAAUCUCACUGCACUCUGCCUGAUUUUUUUUAAAUACGUGUGUUUUUACCUAAAGUUUUUUUCUUUUCUUUUUUUUCUCCUUUUUUUUAUUUGCAUCUUCCUCGCAUCAGAAAAUUAUUCUGGCUGCGGCGUAAUAUCCCCCGCAGGGUUUUUGCACGUUUUCACUUCAUUUUAAGUUAAUAUACACAAACUAUU